GAUGAACGCUAGCUACAGGCUUAACACAUGCAAGUCGAGGGGCAGCAUGACCUAGCAAUAGGUUGAUGGCGACCGGCGCACGGGUGAGUAACACGUAUCCAACCUGCCGAUUAUUCCGGGAUAGCCUUUCGAAAGAAAGAUUAAUACUGGAUAGCAUAACGAGAAGGCAUCUUCUUGUUAUUAAAGAAUUUCGAUAAUCGAUGGGGAUGCGUUCCAUUAGUUUGUUGGCGGGGUAACGGCCCACCAAGACAUCGAUGGAUAGGGGUUCUGAGAGGAAGGUCCCCCACAUUGGAACUGAGACACGGUCCAAACUCCUACGGGAGGCAGCAGUGAGGAAUAUUGGUCAAUGGACGAGAGUCUGAACCAGCCAAGUAGCGUGAAGGAUGACUGCCCUAUGGGUUGUAAACUUCUUUUAUAUGGGAAUAAAGUGGGCCACGUGUGGCUUUUUGUAUGUACCAUACGAAUAGGGAUCGGCUAACUCCGUG
rnacentral:rRNA from 1 species